CAAAACAAAAACCAAGAAAGAUAAUGUCAUUACACACUAAAGUACAAAUUAUCCUUUAUACAGUACUUAUAUCUUUACAGAAACAAAGGAAAUAAUCAGUUGUAGAGUGGCAGUCACUAAUGUACUAGUGAAGGGUGAAUUUUGAUUCCAUCUAUGGAAAAAGAUAUUUCUUGGGGUUUUGGAAAUCAUACCUUGCUGACUUUUAAGUAUUGCCCUACUAUUAAGACCAAUCCAUAAAUAUUUACUGAUUGCAUUCUACACUUUAAGAACUGUGAUUGCUGAAUUCUCAUCUUCAAAAUUCAGUCAAGAUGAAUGAAAGGCAGCCUGAUAGAGUGAAAAAAGCAUGAAUCCUGUCCUCCGGCAGACCUGCAUUUGACCAAAUUAAUUUAGUUAAUACCUGUAUGAAUUUGGGCAAGUUAUCUAACAUCUUUCACCUUGGUCUUCUCAUUUGUAAAAUGGGAUUAUAAUACCUUCGUCAGAACCACAGAUCCAACAAGAACAGCAACUUUUAUUGGAUACUGCUUAAAUUCCAGGCACAGGCACAGGGCUAAGAACUUUUCAUUAUGACUCUUAAACUUUGUCAAACAAUGAAGUGAAGACUAUAAUUUUACAGAGGAGGUAACUGGGAAUUAAGGUGUUAAGCAACUUGCCCAAGGUCAGACAUUUAGCAAAUCAUGGAACCUGAAAGUAAGCCCAGCCACACAAUGACCGAAGUUGAACUCUUUAUUACUGGGUAAUAAGAACAGUAAUGAAAACAAGAAUAAUAACAAACCACACAGUAUUCCAAACUCUUUAAAAUAUUAGAUUAUUUAAUUCUCAGUGAUACCCUUUCAGAACAUGCAAGUGAUAUAGAAUCUCAGGUUCAAC
rnacentral:lncRNA from 10 species